AGUACAGACGAGUUUGAUCAUGGCUCAGAUUGAACGCUGGCGGCAGGCUUAACACAUGCAAGUCGAACGGAACCUUCGGGUUUAGUGGCGAACGGGUGAGUAAUACCUAGGAAUCUGCCUAUUAGUGGGGGAUAACGGCUCGAAAGGGUCGCUAAUACCGCAUACGUCCUACGGGAGAAANAGGGGGAUCUUCGGACCUCUUGCUAAUAGAUGAGCCUAGGCCGGAUUAGCUAGUUGGUAGGGUAAAGGCCUACCAAGGCGACGAUCCGUAGCUGGUCUGAGAGGAUGAUCAGCCACACUGGAACUGAGACACGGUCCAGACUCCUACGGGAGGCAGCAGUGGGGAAUAUUGGACAAUGGGGGCAACCCUGAUCCAGCCAUGCCGCGUGUGUGAAGAAGGCCUUCGGGUUGUAAAGCACUUUAAGCGAGGAGGAAGGUCUUUGAACUAAUAUUUCAAAGAAUUGACGUUACUCGCAGAAUAAGCACCGGCUAACUCUGUG
rnacentral:rRNA from 1 species